rnacentral:snRNA from 1 species
AUUUCAUUUCAAACAUUUAUUUUAAUAAAAUUUUUAAAUCUGUUCUUAUCAGUUUAAUAUCUGAUAUGUCCUUUCUUUGAGGACUGUAUAUUAAAUUGAUUUUUGAAACAGGGGGCCGAAAUAGGAGCUUGCUCUGUCCAUCCCAUGCAUUGACCUGGUAUUGCAGUGCCACAUCCAAAAUUCCUGCUGAAUGACCCACCCUGGGAGCAAGUUACCCGU